rnacentral:rRNA from 1 species
UACGUAGGGUGCAAACGUUGUCCGGAAUUAUUGGGCGUAAAGAGCUCGUAGGCGGUCUGUCGCGUCGGAUGUGAAAACCCAGGGCUCAACCCUGGGCCUGCAUUCGAUACGGGCAGACUAGAGUUCGGUAGGGGAGACUGGAAUUCCUGGUGUAGCGGUGAAAUGCGCAGAUAUCAGGAGGAACACCGGUGGCGAAGGCGGGCCUCUGGGCCGAAACUGACGCUGAGGAGCGAAAGCGUGGGGAGCAAACAGG